UACGAAGGGGGCUAGCGUUGCUCGGAAUCACUGGGCGUAAAGCGCACGUAGGCGGAUUCUUAAGUCAGGGGUGAAAUCCUGGAGCUCAACUCCAGAACUGCCUUUGAUACUGAGGGUCUUGAGUUCGGGAGAGGUGAGUGGAACUGCGAGUGUAGAGGUGAAAUUCGUAGAUAUUCGCAAGAACACCAGUGGCGAAGGCGGCUCACUGGCCCGAUACUGACGCUGAGGUGCGAAAGCGUGGGGAGCGAACGAG
rnacentral:rRNA from 1 species